CACGUAGUUAGCCGGCGCUUCUUCUGCAGGUACCGUCACUUUCGCUUCGUCCCUGCUGAAAGGGGUUUACAACCCGAAGGCCUUCAUCCCGCACGCGGCGUCGCUGCGUCAGGCUUUCGCCCAUUGCGCAAGAUUCCCUA
rnacentral:rRNA from 1 species